UACGAGGGGGGGCAAGCGUUGUUCGGAAUUAUUGGGCGUAAAGAGCGCGCAGGCGGUAUGACAAGUCAGAUGUGAAAGUCCGGGGCUCAACUCCGGAUCUGCGGUGGGUACGGGCAGACUAGAGUGAUGUAGGGGAGACUGGAAUUCCUGGUGUAGAGGUGAAAUUCGUAGAUAUUCGGAAGAACACCAGUGGCGAAGGCGACUUACUGGACACAUAUUGACGCUGAGGUGCGAAAGCGUGGGGAGCAAACAGG
rnacentral:rRNA from 1 species